rnacentral:lncRNA from 1 species
GUGUUUUUCCAAAGCCUUCCAACAGCAACAUGAAGUUGGCAGCCUUCCUCCUCCUUGUGAUCCUCAUCAUCUUCAGCCUAGAAUUACAAGAGCUUCAGGCUGCAGUGAGACCGUUGCAGCUUUUGGGGGCCCCUUUUUACAGAUGAGAAAAGUUCCAGAAAGACCCAGAGAUAUAAUCAGGUACCUGCGUCGAGCUCUGCACAGGUGACUGGGACUGCAACCCCGGAGACCACUGUGUCAGCAAUGGGUGUGGCCAUGAGUGUGCUGCAGAGUAAGGACAGAUGAAGAGUUAUCUUAAGGAUCAUCUUUCUCUAAGAUCGUCAUCCCUUUCUGGAGUUCCUAUCUUCCAAGAUGUGACUGUCUGGAGUUCCUUGACUAGGAAGAUGGAUGAAAACAGCAAGCCUGUGGAUGGAGACUAUAGGGGAUAUGGGAGGCAGGGAAGAGGGGUUGUUUCUUUUAAUAAAGCAUCAUUGUUAAAAGC